AGUGAACGCUGGCGGUAGGCCUAACACAUGCAAGUCGAACGGCAGCACAGGAGAGCUUGCUCUCUGGAUGGCGAGUGGCGGACGGGUGAGGAAUACAUCGGAAUCUACUUUUUCGUGGGGGAUAACGUAGGGAAACUUACGCUAAUACCGCAUACGACCUACGGGUGAAAGCAGGGGACCUUCGGGCCUUGCGCGAUUGAAUGAGCCGAUGUCGGAUUAGCUAGUUGGCGGGGUAAAGGCCCACCAAUGCGACGAUCCGUAGCUGGUCUGAGAGGAUGAUCAGCCACACUGGAACUGAGACACGGUCCAGACUCCUACGGGAGGCAGGAGUGGGGAAUAUUGGACAAUGGGCGCAAGCCUGAUCCAGCCAUACCGCGUGGGUGAAGAAGGCCUUCGGGUUGUAAAGCCCUUUUGUUGGGAAAGAAAUCCAGCUGGCUAAUACCCGGUUGGGAUGACGGUACCCAAAGAAUAAGCACCGGCUAACUUCGUGCCAGCCGCCGCAGUAA
rnacentral:rRNA from 1 species